CGAGCCUCUGGAGAGACUUAUUUGAAUAAGCACCGAAGGAGCAAGAUUGUAUAAAUUAUUUAUACAAUUGAAACUCUCAGGUAAAAGGACAGGGGAA
rnacentral:ncRNA from 1 species